rnacentral:lncRNA from 1 species
GAUUAACUAUCAAACUUUUGCAUGAAUUAUUUGAUAAAAUUCCAUAAAAAAAGAAUUUUACCUACGAAUUUCCACGAAAAAAAAUCACAAAUUAUUCUCCACGAAGAUUCCCAAGUAAAUUCGAAGAAAAUUUAGAGGUGAAAUUUCUAAUUAACAAAAGAAAAUUUCUUACGAAUAUUUAUGAAACUAUUUCGCAAGAAAAUUCGCAUGAAAUGCCCCAAGUAAAUCCGCAAGAACAAAUUUUCUCAAUUUUCAUGUACAUCCCAAUGAAAAUUCUCAAGUAAUAAUUCACACGUAAAUUACUAAAAAUAUUUUACAAUUAGUCAAAAAUCUAUUCAAAACCUCUAAUAAUUCUCAAAAAUAUCAUUAAGUCUAAUGUAAACCAUUACAGCUAACAAAAAAAUAUAAUUCGUAACAUCCACAUCAAUAAUGUAUGAUUCUUAAUGGCCCAAAAUAAAAUAUUUCGAACUUGAAUCCUUAAUAAAACUAUCAACCAUGAGGGUCAAUCACUUUCAUUCACGUCGUUAGAGUCAUCAUCACAUUCAUCCUCAUAAGCUUGGUUGUCUUCUUGAGAUGGGCGUUCAUCAUUUGAAGAUGAUUUCUUGUAUACAUGCUUCAUCAACAAAUCCAAUUCCUUUCUCAUCCUCCUUCCACAAUUGAUGCACUAUGAGCAACUAAUAUUUCAUGUUUCUUUCUUUCAAACUCAUUCUGCAUAAGAAUAUGUUAAUUCAAGCCAUAAAAAGUGCUAAAAAUACAUUAUUAGCAUAAAUUAUAUGACAUUAUAGUAUCAAAUAAAAUCAUAACAAUCGACAAAUAUAAAUAUAUAUAUAUUAGCAUAUAAAGCAUCAAACUCAAAGUUGAUAUUUUCAAAUUAUUGUGACUAUCGUUAUGACUUGUUAUAUUAAGAUAACGUAGGAUGAAAUUAGAAGAAUAAGAGAACAAGAGGAAGGAUUCAAGUGGUGCCACGUAUCUAACACUUAAUGUGAAGAAAACUCUUUUCUUAUUUCUUAAAGCUCCGUACCCGGUCAAAUGGAUUAUACAAGGUACACUACAAUGGAUUAUACAUUGUCAAGGUACACUGCAAUGAAAAUUUUUUCAUAUAACCAAACAUAUUUAUUUUGUAACUAUACUUUAUUAUUUUCAAGUUAUUAGUACACAUUUCAAGUGACUAUUACUUAACCAUUUUUAAGUCAUAAGUUCACAAUUUCAUGUAACUACACUUAACCAUUUUCAAGUCACGAGUUCGCAAAUUCAAGUAACUACACUUAAUCAUUUUCAAGUCACUACACUUAAUAAUUUUCAAAUAACUUAUUCACAAUUCAAAUCACCAUUACACAUUUCAAGUCACUACACUCGAACCAUUUUCGAAUAGCUAAUUGACAUUUCAAGUCACCAUACUUAACCAUUUUCAAGAAACUACACUUCACCAUUUUCAAGUCACUAGUACACAUUUCAAGUCACUACACUUGACCAUUUUCAAGUAACUAAUUCACAUUUCAAGUCACUAUACUUAACCAUUUUCAAGUCACUAGUACACGUUUCAAAUCACUACACUUAAUCAUUUUCAAAUAAUUAAUUCACAUUUCAAGUCACUAUACUUAACCAUUUUUAAGUAACUACUUUACAUUUCAAAUAACUAUACUCAACCAUUUUCAAGUCACUAUACUUAAUCAAUUUCAAGUAACUAAUUCACAUUUCAAGCAACUACACUUUAACCAUUUAAGUCACUAGUAUGCAUUUCAAGUCAUUAUACUUAACCAUAUUUUCAAGUAACUACACUUAACUAUUUUCAAGUCACUACAAUUAAUCAUUCAUUUCAAGUCACUAUACUUAACCACUUUCAAGUAACUAAUUCACAUUUCAAGUAAUUACACUUAACCAUUUUCAAGUCACUAGUACACAUUUCAAGUCACUAUACUUAACCAUAUUUUCAAGUAACUACACUUAACUAUUUUGAAGUCACUAGUACACAUUUCAAGACAUUACACUUAACCAUUUUAAAGUCACUAGUAUACAUUUCAAGACACUACAUUUAAUUAUUUUCAAGUCACAAGUUUACAAUUUCAAGUCACUAAUUCACUUCUCAAGUGACCACACUUUACUAAAUUCAAAACACAAGUUAACCUUUCAAGUACCUAAACUUAAACGUUUUCAAGUGACCACACUUUAGCAAAUUCAAAACACAAGUUCACCUUUCAAGUAACUAAACUUAAAACAUUUUCGAGUUACUAAAUCACUUCUCAAGUGACCACACUUUAGUAAAUUCAAAACACAAGUUCACAUUUCAAUUACCUACAUUUAAAUAUUUUCAAGUCACUAUUUCACUACUCAAGUGACCACACUUUAGUAAAUUUAAAACAUAAGUUCACCUUUCAAGUACCUAAACUUAAUUAUUUUAGAGUUACUAAAUCACUUCUCAAGUGACCACACUUUAGUAAAUUUAAAACAUAAGUUCACCUUUCAAGUACCUAAACUUAAUUAUUUUCGAGUUACUAAAUCACUUCUCAAGUGACCACACUUUACUAAAUUCAAAACACAAGUUCACAUUUCAAGUACCUAAACUUAAAACAUUUUCGAGUUACUAAAUCACUUCUCAAGUGACCACACUUUAGUAAAUUCGAAACACAAGUUUACAUUUCAAGUACCUACAUUUGAAUAUUUUGAAGUCAAUAAUUCACUUCUCAAGUGACCACACUUUACUAAAUUCAAAACACAAGUUAACCUUUCAAGUACCUAAACUUAAACGUUUUCAAGUCACUAUUUCACUUCUCAAGGAGUUACUAAAUCACUUCUCAAGUGACCACACUUUAGUAAAUUCGAAAUACAAGUUUACAUUUCAAUUACCUACACUUGAACAUUUUGAAGUCAAUAAUUCACUUCUCAAGUGACCACACUUUAGUAAAUUCAAAACACAAGUUCACCUUUUAAGUAUCUAAACUUAAUUAUUUUCGAGUUACUAAAUCACUCCUCAAGUUACCACACUUUUGCAAAUUCAAAACACAAGUUCACAUUUCAAGUACCUAAACUUAAACAUUUUCAAGUCACUAUUUCACUUUCGAAACACAAAUUUACAUUUCAAGUACCUACACUUGAACAUUUUGAAGUCAAUAAUUCACUUUCAAGUGACCAAACAUUACUAAAUCCAAAACACAAGUUCAUAUAUCAAGUAUGUACACCUAAACAUUUCAAGUCACUAAUUCACUUCACAAGUGACCAAACUUAACUAAAUAUAGCCUUAACAUUAAAAAAUACAACAACAACAACAUGCCCAGUAUAUUCUCACCAAGUGGGGUCUGAGAAGGGCAAGUAUACGCAGUUCUAUAUCACUACCUUAGAUGUGAGAUAGAGAGACUGUUUCCGAUAGAGCCCGGCUCACAAUAAAAUAAUAACCUCAGCAGCAGACCAUAUUAUAAACCUGAGAACCAAAUAGCUUACCAAAACACUGAAAUAUUGAAGUCUUUAUUUAGAAAUAUUGAAGUGUUCAUUUAGAAUAUAGGAUGUUUGCUAAUGGACUUAUAAUGCCAAAACACAUGCAAGCUACUGUUAACCUAUUAUGAGAGAAAUAUACAUUAUAUUAAAAAAUAUCAAUAUACACGAGGAAAUAACCUAAAAAGUCAAUCAUUGAUCAUGUGUUACUUUGCAAUCAACAAAAGGAAAAGAAGAAACAAAAUUCUGCCAUUUAUUAAUGAUGUAUAAAUAAAAUCUCAAAAUCAAAAGCACAAAAGAAAAAGAUAAACUUCAGCAUCUUUAAGCAGACCUUCUUUCUUACUAUAUCAAACGUCUUUGGUAGAAAUUUUAGGCCUUCAUCGUCACCUUCUUAUUCAAGGACUCUUUUAGCAUCCUAUGUGGUAUUUUCUAAAUUUUCUCUAUGCUCAAACUAAAUAAGAUCGGGAAACAUAGUAUUAAUCAGAGGGAAAGAAGGUCUCUAUUGUCUUUAUCAAAAGACUACAUAAUAGGAACCACGAAAAAUAAUGAAUCCCCAAAUUUAUCUUGCAGUAAAAAAUACGAACCUUUCCAUAAGUAGGGUCCGUAAAAAUAGCUUGUAUAGAUAGGAGAUUUCUCAAAUGUUUUUCCUGAUACCAUAAAUAUUACAUUUAUGGAAUUAUCUUAGACAAAGAGAUGAAACUUCCACAAACUAAUAUGCAUCACUAAACAAACUAGGGGUAAAAUUGGGGUUUUCAAAAUUGGGCAGUGUAAAAAAUAUAAAUAUGCAUAGAAUUAAAUCACCCCAUGUCACGAAUAUCACGAAUUUAAUAUCUAAAAAUCAUUGGAUGGGUAGAAGAAGAUGACAAUAUGAAAAUUGCAUUACGGAAACAAACUUGAGACAGAUUCAUAGAAUCCAUCAUGCAUUUCAACGCUUUCUGGGUUAUCGGCUCUGGGUGCGGUGGAAUGAAGAGAACGGAGCAGUGGCGCUGGUCGCUGACCGGCAGUCAGGUGGUGGCACGGUGGAAUGAGGGAGAGAAAGGAGAGGGGUACCAGCGAUGAGAAAGGAGAAAAGAGGAAGAAAAUGCGGCGCGGGCGGCGCCAUUGGCCGGCCGGCGAUAACAGCGGUGGUUAGAGAGAAGUGAAGAGAGAGAGGAGCUGAUGCGACUGUUUUGGAAUAAUAAAUUGGGGUUUGGGUUUUAAGCUUAAAAAGGC